rnacentral:rRNA from 1 species
GUGUCAGCCGCCGCGGUAAAACCAGCACCUCAAGUGGUCAGGAGGAUUAUUGGGCCUAAAGCAUCCGUAGCCUGCUCUGUAAGUUUCCGGUUAAAUCCAUUAGCUUAACUGAUGGGCCGCCGGAAAAACUGCAAAGCUAGGGAGUGGGAGAGGUAGACGGUACUCGGUAGGAAGGGGUAAAAUCCUUUGAUCUAUUGAUGACCACCUGUGGCGAAGGCGGUCUACCAGAACACGUUCGACGGUGAGGGAUGAAAGCUGGGGGAGCAAACCGGAUUAGAUACCCGGGUAGUCCCAGCUGUAAACGAUGCAGACUCGGUGAUGCCCUGGCUUGUGGCCAGUGCAGUGCCGCAGGGAAGCCGUUAAGUUUGCCGCCUGGGAAGUACGUACGCAAGUAUGAAACUUAAAGGAAUUGGCGGGGGAGCACCACAAGGGGUGAAGCCUGCGGUUCAAUUGGAGUCAACGCCAGAAAUCUUACCCGAGGAGACAGCAGAAUGAAGGUCAAGCUGGAGACUUUACCAGACAAGCUGAGAAGUGGUGCAUGGCCGUCGCCAGCUCGUGCCGUGAGAUGUCCUGUUAAGUCAGGUAACGAGCGAGAUCCCUGCCUCUAGUUGCCACCAUUACUCUCAGGAGUAGUGGGGCGAAUUAGCGGGACCGCCACAGUUAAUGUGGAGGAAGGAAGGGGCCACGGCAGGUCAGUAUGCCCUGAAACCUUGGGGCCACACGCGGGCUGCAAUGAUAGUGACAAUGAGUUCCUAAACCGAAAGGUGGAGGCAAUCUUCAAACGCUAUCACAGUUAUGAUUGAGGGCUGCAACUCGCCCUCAUGAAUAUGGAAUCCCUAGUAACUGCGUGUCAUUACCGCGCGGUGAAUACGUCCCUGCUCCUUGCACACACCGCCCGUC